UACGUAGGUGGCAAGCGUUGUUCGGAAUUACUGGGCGUAAAGGGCGCGUAGGCGGUACGACAAGUCGGGAGUGAAAGCCCGGGGCUCAACCCCGGGACUGCUUUCGAAACUGUCGAACUUGAGUGCAGAAGAGGCAACUGGAAUUCCCAGUGUAGCGGUGAAAUGCGUAGAUAUUGGGAAGAACACCUGAGGCGAAGGCGGGUUGCUGGGCUGACACUGACGCUGAGGCGCGAAAGCCAGGGGAGCGAACGGG
rnacentral:rRNA from 1 species